UUUCCACUACAUCCCAGCCAAAUCCUGCUGGUACAUGUAUAUGUGUUUGCAGGAUCAGGCCUUAAAAGGAAAAUACUAAAUAUGUCUGUUUUUUAUUCUAUAUUAAUUCACUUUUUAAUAGCUGGGUUUCCUGCCGGGGCAAGGAAGUGAAUAUCCAGAUCAAGACACAAUAAAUUCCUCAUGAACUUCUGCUAUGAAAUCCUGGGCACAGCCAGAACCAGCCAGCACAUGUCUCUGUAACUUUUUCAGUGAGGAUUUUGCAGACCAUGUUGUGUAACACCUUCCUUCGUUUGUCACCUGAAAAUAUUGCCUGUGCAAUGAGAGACCCUGUCACAAGCACACAUUUUUGUGGACUCUAGGCAUAACCUUGUACCUGCUGAUUUCAGUGACUUCACAGCAGGGUGAAUUUUGCUGGUUAAAGGUCAAGAUGUAUUAGAAGCGCAGAGAGCUGAAGUCCAUGGGAGCUGGUUAAGGUCUGGAGUGUGUGAUGCUGCUCUGUUAUCACUGUGAAAAAUAGCAGUUUUGCCUGUUGUUUGGUCCUAUAGAACAACCAGUUCCGACAUCUAGGCUAGCACCUGCCUGUGGAGGAUUGUCCCAGCCAGUAUAUUCAACCUUUUUUUCAGUUUUAAAUUACUCAAGCAGAAGGACUUCUGCUGCUUCCCAUAGGAUAUUCUUCCACAGCCCGCUGGAGAAGGUUUGCCUGUUCUCAUCAUACAGGAGAGUCACAACAGACGUAGAUGACAAUACGACUCCCUUCAAGUUUUUGCCAAAAUGUAAAUCCAUCCCAGAGUGAAUGCACAUCUGCAGCUACUGAGGUCCAGUGUGGACUAGGAAAACUAGGGUGAAAUACAGGACAUGAGCAGCUCUUUCUGUGAUGCUGGGUGACAGUAUUCCUGCCAGUGGCUGACCCAGAAAAAUAAAUGAGCUGACUUCCUGGGGACCAUCACUAAACCAGUUUGUCUCCUGAAUCUGGAAGGACUCUCUGGGCUCAAUCUUUCAAGAAAAAACUAGCACUUACUCCCAAGUCUGCAGGAUUUGGCUUUGCCUGUGCUGAAUUUGCUACAUUCUCCAGGGACCAGGGUCCAUAUAUGGGCCUUUUUCAAAAUAACUGAGAAAAAAAUGUCAUUAUGCUAUUUAUUAGUGAUACUUAAACUGUAGGUAAUUUUGAUGACCAAAAGUUGCAAGAGGAAUCAUAACGGCAAAUCUGUUUCAGUGCUGGGUUCUGCAUGUCAAAUGGGUGAACAGCGAAAGGCUACAAGAGUUUUGUUUGCAGUUGCCAAACCUUGUUUUUUAAAGUUGUUGGAAAUCCAAGAAAAUGUUUGUAUGUGAGUCUUUUCAGACCUGGGCUUAUGAUUGCAUUAUCAUUCACAUGCCUGUGGCAUGCUUUAAGGAACAGUUGUUGAAUCCCAUAAGAAUAGGAACAUUUUAAAUGGCCAAAAGGCAUGUCAGAAAAUAUAUAUUUUUCAUUUUAUAAUGGAAUAAUUUGUCUAAGAUUUGGACAUAAAUGUAGAAAAUAUUUUUACCAGGCUAUAUUGCUAAUGCAAGAAAAGUAGGCCUAAAAAUGGAUUUUGUACCAUAGUAAUAAAAAAACCCCACUAUUCUGAUCCAAUAAUUUUACUUUAACAUAAAAUUGUCACAAAUAGACAAGAGAAAGCAUGCAAGGCAGUCUGAAAAGUCCAGUGCUAUGCCCAUAUCAUUAAUUAGGAUAGCAGUGUGGUCUAGUGGUUUGAACAGGAAUCUGUGAGCCAAGAUUCCUGGACGUUGUUCCUGGCUACACCAGGGCUGCUGUGUGUCUUUGGCACAUCUUGUAACCUCUCUUUGCCUUAGUUUGUCCCUCUGUAAAAUAACACAUGGAAGAAAUAGGAGUUUUUUGAGUGUGAGCUAAUACUGGUAAAGUUUUUUUCAGAUUCCUGGAUAAAAAGUGCUAUAGAAAUACUUAGUGUUAUAGCAAACAGACUACAAAGCCUGUGUUAUAACGAGAGGGUUAAGGACCCUAACUUUAAUCUAACGAAGGAAAUUUAGAAUUAAGUCUGGCACUUCCCACGUAGAGGAAAUGCAGUGAGUUCGCACUCAGUUACCACCUGUAUCAUCCAUUGGGUUUGAAUUAGGAGUUGUUCUCCGCUUCCCUGCAGAAAUAGUAGAGGGGUUGGCUUGCAGAACCUGUGUGUCUAAGGGGAACCACUGGAGGACAGGGUCAUAGAUGUGGAGAUCUUGGGCCUACAUACUGACUCCUGGCACACUUGAUACACUUUCUGUGCAUGGUUCUUAUCUCAGGACUAGAAUGUUAAAAAUAAAUACAUAUUUACUUGCUCAGAUAUAGUCACUCCUCCAGAAAAACAGGUUGUAGACAAGAAUAUUCAUUGGUUUCCUAUGGCCUCUUUAACAGUCUCAUCUCUAUUAGAGGUAGACUGUUGAGUUCCCCACUCCUCCCUUUGAAUGUCCUGGUGUAACAGCAGAGUAGACUACCUCUCUGCCCAGUUAUAGUCUUGGCUAUGCUGCUACAGCAAUAGGGGUUUUCUUCAAGGACAAUCUUUCGACCAGCAUAUAAAAGAUCAGCUAUGCAAAAAGUUCGGUGCUUGCUUUCACCAACCAGUAUUGAAAAUGUAGACAUGUGGAACACUAACCCCAAAAUUCUCCAGGGACUAUUGUUAAACCCUUUUAAGGUACAAUAACAGUUUUCCCUGAAACAAACAACCCCCAAACAAAAUGCAGCAUUUUAAGGCAAAACAAGCCUUGGGCAAAUCUAAGCACAGCCUCAGCAUUCGUUAUACAUUAGAAAGCACUCACUCCUGUAGCUGCAGGUAAUCCAAAUACACCAGAGUGACACUCUUUCACAGCAUUUCCAUUAUAUAUUGCACUAUUAAAAGGAGAAUGAUAAUUGCAGGGAAUCUUCAAAUACUUCAAACUUAAUAUAUGUGCGCCUACUGGAACUAUGGGAGCUAAAACUGAUUUUUAUAGCUCGAUGUUCUGGCAACAAAGGUUAUUGGAAGGGUUUUUAGCAGAACCAACCACCAACAUAAUUUAUCUGACCACAGAACAGAUAUAUUGGGGAAAAAGAGAGAUACACAUAAGGGAGGAUUUCUUGUGUUGGGAAAUUUAAUAAAAGGUUUGAAUUUAAGCCUUCAAGUAAGACUUCCUGUUAGAAUUAACAUCUUGAUGAUAUACAUUUUAUUUUUUGCUUUAGAAAUAAUGAUACUGGUAAUAUAAUAAAAUCUGAUAAGGUGGGGAGAAAUACUACAGUCAAUGCAAAGCUGUUGUUAAAGGAAAAAAACACUUUGGCUCAGAAACAUGAAUUAUACAUAUUGUCAGUCAACACACUAAACAAAAUUCUUAUUCUUAGCGUUAGAAAGAUCAGAAAUUACAGAGCAGCUUUUCCUAGAGGCCAAAUUUAAAAAAUUGUGAAGAUCAGAACAUCAAAUAUUAAAGUAUAUGAUAACAGAAACCCAGUCAGUAAAGAAUGCUUAUGUCCCAGUUACUGUUCCAAAGCUAUAUGUUUACAAAGAAAAUCUAAAAGAAAGAUCAUUCGCAUUUGGGAAUAAUUGCAUUUGAAAGUAAACCUUCCUUUGAAUUAUCCAGAUGACUUUCUGACCAGAUUUCCCCAACUUCCUUUUUUAAAUUGCGCAGGUAAUCUUUUCAGCCACUUCUGAAGUGAAAUAACAGUUUAUGACAAGAAGGUUGGUGGGCUAGAUUCUCUGCUGGUGUAACUUCACUGACUUCAAUGCAUGUCUAUCACGAGAGAGUUUGACCUCUCCUUGUUGCAAUUGGUGGUGGAAUUGUGGAGAAACAGGACACAGCUACCCAAACUGGAAUUUAUCUAAGGCACCAGGGAUGAGGCCAUAAUCUUGCAAGUACCACUAUGACCACAAAUGCCUCAAAUCCUGUAUGAUAAAAAUAAACUUCCUUUCCCAACAGCACACUGUGGGCAUUAGUUCAAUAACAGACCCAUUGGGGGAGACUGUUGUCUACAUGAUCAUCAGACUUGCUUUCUGCAGCACUUAAGGUUUCUUUCUUCUGUUAUUUUAGGCUUUCUUGCCACAUACAGACCAGUCUCACCUAAGAUCCAGUCCUGUAAACACUUAAGCACAUGUGUAACUUUACUCACUGAGUACAGUUUCUCACCUGCUGAAGUAUUUGCAGGAUCUGGCCCUUAGCAUAUGUUAUCCGACAAGAUCACAAGUUGAGAUUUGUACAAUGUAAAUGGUUUGUUUUGAAAAUUUCCGUUGUGCAGACUAGCAAGCACCCAUCUUUCUCUGCCUGGUGAUACAGAGGUCCAGUACUUUGGUUUCAGUUUGCAGUUACCACAGAAGACUCUGAUUAUUCAGUUUUACCAAUAUUUUAUAUUUUGAAAUAUGAACUUAUUCUGUAAUUGAAAACUUCUAACAUGAUCAAGACCUCUUCAUAGCACGGGAGCCAGCAGGCUCUUUCACAAUUCUUUACCCAAUGAACUUAUUUUGUGUGAGUGUGUUUUUGUUGGGAAUGGUUAACUGUAAGUUCUCCUGUUCUCUCCUGAUUCGUAUGAAUUUCUUUGUUUUAUUCUCUGGAGGCAACAAAAUAUUAAAAUUAAAGAAGAAAAAAGCUUCAAGAAAAAACUAUGUUGUGUCAACAUCUUGGAAAAGAUCUUAGAGAACGUUUUAUUGUAAAAAGUUUUUAAUAAGGACUUUUAAAUACUGAUAAUUUAUCUCAUCUAAACACUGCAGAUAGUAAUCCUGAAGUAGAGCUCCCUGGGUGAUGAAUCAAUAUAUAUAUCCCCAAGGCAAGAGAAAGUUCCAUAUGGGGACAUAAACUGAAUAACGUACAAGGAAAACCCAUAGUUUUAGCAACACUUAUGUCUCUGCAUUACACUAAAGAUAGACACAGGCCACAUUUUGCAUUGUCUUACAGCCACAGGAUCUCACAGGGGUUAUAUGGGUGUAAAUCAGCAUAGAAUUUGGCCCUUAUUUCUCCUGUGCCACAAAUUUUCCCUCCAUCUCAUGCCUGGAAAAGCAGCUAAUUCUCUCACUGUCACGUUAAAAAUAACACUUAGAAAAGCAACAGUUUAUGCUAAUAACACGAGUUAAGCUUGAUGUGAAUGCCCCCAACCAACAGCCUUAGCAGCAUGGAAGCUGGAGUGCAAUCUACAGACUGCAUGUGACAAGCAAAGAUAGAGGAUUUUGAAAUGACUAGUAGGGAGGCAGGGCAUUCUUCCAGGAUCUAUUGGCACCCUACAGUAUUAAAAGAAACACACAAAAAUUAUAUAUGGAAACUACCCACAAAGGUAGCUUAGUGGCCCACUGGUGCUAUGACUGUUGCUAGGCAUAAAUCUGCAUCCUAAAGCAGCCAUAUUUAGGUUCUUUAAAAGCCAUGGAGUCAUAGAAUUUUAGGCCAGAAGGGACCAGCAGAUCAUUUAAUCUGACUGCCUGUAUAUCACCGGCCACCACCAGCACCCAGCAGCUGCACACUGAAUCCAGCAACUGAAAUUAGAUCAAGAUAUUAACGGUCCUCAGGAGACCAAACAAAUACAUGUCACAGGCAGAGAAUAGAAGGGACCCAGAUGGCCCAUGCUCAAGGCCCUUGCAAUGGCAGGGAACUGAGAUAUUCCAAGAUGAUCAUGGCAAACAACUUGCACACCAGGCUGCAGAGGAAGAUGAAGCCCCCAGAAGGUCACUGCCAAUCUGAUCUGAGGAAAAAUUCCUUCCUGACCUCACAUAUGGCAAUCAGUUAGACCCUGAGCAUAUGAGCAAGAACCAGGCAGCGAAGCACCCGAGAGAGAGAGAAUGCUCAGUAUCACAUCAGAGCACGAGCACACCCCGUACAGUGUCCCAUCUCCAGCUAUGGCCAGAUAAUAUAAACUUGCCUGACACCAUGCUCUGACGGUCAGUGAACCUGAGAUGGGGCAGACUGCCAAGGGAAGCUGAAUUCCACAAAUAAGGCUACUCUGUUGAGGAUCCCCAUCUGCUUUUCCAAGUGUCCUCCAGGUCAGGGGCAUAAUUUUGGGAAAAAAAUAUAUGGGGGUUGGGGGGCAAAGUUGUGUCAGCAUAUAGAACAUUAUAUGUGAUUAUAUUAUAUUCCUGAAAUAUAUUUAUAUGGGAGGCACAAAGUAGAAAAUAUAAUGAAGAAUAUAGACCUAUGAAAAUUCGGGAGGGGCAAACCAAGGACUGGUGUGGGCAACUGCCCCUCUUAACCCAUAGCACAUGAUGCCCCUGCUCAAGUGAUGUCUGUGUUUGUUAUAAGGUACUUUUUGUUUGUAACACUUUCUUGAAAGCUUAAAAAUAAAAGGUAUUUCUUUACU